AAAAGCUGUACGGCUAUGACGGAGAGGAGCUGCAUCUGGUGGCUUCCAGUUUCCUGGAACUAUGUGACAAAACGAUAGAGUAUCCAGCAUCCAAGCGCUACUACAAUGGAGAGGCCUUCAAAGAUAUGACUGAGGAGGACUGGAAAAAAGUUAAGAUGAGUGAUGUGGGGAGGAAACUGCAGGAAGAACAUAAAAAGCUGGUAAAUGAAACCCAGUCAGCGUUCGUAAGCCUAAUAUCAUAGAUUCUGGUAUUUGGCCAAAAGAGAGCUUCACAAUUCUUGGCUUCACCUGUGGUAGAAAAAUGACUAAAGUUAUGCAACACUCUCUAAAAUUAAAGCUAUGCAACGCUUUAACAUGAAUGGCGAAGGAGUGCAUCUCUUUCACUGUCUCUUCCUGUCCUCUUCUCAGUCUUUGUUGUGGCACCUCUGCUAUGUGUUAUAGAAAGCACUUGGAAUCAUGUUCAAUACAAAAACACCAAACUCGUGGGAUUGCCCUAGCAAGCAGUUGGUAAAAACUAAUUAAAACUGAUAUAUAUCAGCUUCACUUUCUAGCUGCAAAAGCACGUUUCUGCAAAAGCAUGCAGUUUCCUGUCAGCACUUUUUGGCACAGAGUGUACUCAGAGUUAGGCCUUUCUUAUAUAAAGCAAUAUAAUCAGCAUAUAAACAUUUAAGAUGAUAAAUUUAAAGCUCAACAGUAACUGCUAUAAAUAUUAUAACUACACAUGUAGUGCUUUUGCUUAAGUAAAUUAUAGUUGGGAUCAUAAUAAGAAAACAUGUGUUUUUAUUUUCUGUGUACCCUGGGUACAGACCAGUAUAAAAAUGGGAUUCUUCCCAAUAAAUGCUGUCUGAUAAUGCUUCAUAUUGCAUUAAACACUAGAUAUGUAAGCAAACAAACAAAAACCCAUAGAAGCCAGUUUUAAUUAUUAAAUGUGACAAUUACAUGGAGAUGGAAAGUAAACAUGCUUAUACACGUCUCUGUGAUUACAGAAAAUCCACACAGAUGCUGUCAGAGCAGAGAAUCUUUGAUUUAUCAGAAUGAUGAAUGCAAAUGAUUUCAUGAAAUCUCACUCUUGUUCUGGGUUGUAAAAUUCACCUGUCCAGUUAAACCGAAUCCUUUGCAACACGGUUCUAAGAACCCUACCAACCUCAUCCUCAGCUCUCUGCCUGUUGUCCUUUUCAGCUGAGUAUUCAUCCACAUGUGUUUCAACUUCUCUCUCAUUUUCAAGCAAAUUGCUCAGGCUCUCAGCUUCAGCACAGUUACCAUAUGGCCACUCUCUGAGGUCUUCUGUGUUCAAGCCAAACAAAUUCUUACAUGAUCUGCAAGGCUUCAUUCUGGCACCAUCACGGAGACAAAAAGCCUCACACCUGAUAUUUCCAGGUACUUCAAUUGUUCCAUCAAAGUAAUCUUUCUGGACUGUGUUUGGAUAAUAGGUCAUCACCGCACCAGAUACAUAUUUAUGCCAUUUGCUAAGACAGGAGGCAGCAAUCAUAAUUUUCCCAGCGUUAGGACCUUUGGUGGACAUGGAGACUCCGCAGUACCUUUCUGA